AGGAUGAACGCUAGCGGCAGGCUAACACAUGCAAGUCGAGGGGUAACGCGGUGUAGCAAUACACGUGGCGACGACCGGCGCACGGGUGCGUAACGCGUAUGCAACCUACCUUGUACAGGGGGAUAACGGAGUGAAAAUUCCACUAAUAUCCCAUAGUGUUGAGGAAUCGCAUGGUUCUUCAACUAAAGCUUCGGUGGUACAAGAUGGGCAUGCGUGACAUUAGGUAGUUGGCGGGGCAACGGCCCACCAAGCCGACGAUGUCUAGGGGAGCUGAGAGGCUUAUCCCCCACACUGGUACUGAGACACGGACCAGACUCCUACGGGAGGCAGCAGUGAGGAAUAUUGGUCAAUGGACGGAAGUCUGAACCAGCCAUGCCGCGUGGAGGAAGAAGGUCCUAUGGGUUGUAAACUCCUUUUGCUCCAGAGUAAUAAGAGCCUUGCGAGGCUUGAUGAGAGUACGGGGCGAAUAAGCAUCGGCUAACUCCGUGCCAGCCGCCGC
rnacentral:rRNA from 1 species